GUGUCAGCAGCCGCGGUAAUACAGAGGUCCCAAGCGUUGUUCGGAUUCACUGGGCGUAAAGGGUGCGUAGGUGGCCGGGUAAGUUCGAUGUGAAAGCUCGGAGCUCAACUCCGAAAUGGCAUUGAAUACUCUCCGGCUGGAGGGUCGGAAGGGAGACUGGAAUUCUCGGUGUAGCAGUGAAAUGCGUAGAUAUCGAGAGGAACACCAGUGGCGAAGGCGAGUCUCUGGACGACUCCUGACACUGAGGCACGAAAGCUAGGGGAGCAAACAGGAUUAGAUACCCUCGUAGUCC
rnacentral:rRNA from 1 species